GAUCCUGACUCAGGAUGAACGCUAGCUACAGGCUUAACACAUGCAAGUCGAGGGGCAGCAUUUUAGUUUGCUUGCAAACUAAAGAUGGCGACCGGCGCACGGGUGAGUAACACGUAUCCAACCUGCCGAUAACUCAGGGAUAGCCUUUCGAAAGAAAGAUUAAUACCUGAUGGCAUAGGAUUAUCGCAUGAUAAUCCUAUUAAAGAAUUUCGGUUAUCGAUGGGGAUGCGUUCAUAGG
rnacentral:rRNA from 1 species